rnacentral:tRNA from 4 species
GGGCCCAUAGCUCAGUUGGUUAGAGCAGCGGACUCAUAAUCCGUUGGUCGCAGGUUCAAGUCCUGCUGGGCCCA